rnacentral:lncRNA from 1 species
UUGGGGCGGACCUCCCCUGGAGCGCACCUCCCCCUGGAGCGCGCGGGCGCGCAGGGUGCACACAGCCCUCCUGGACCCCGGGACCGGCUCAGGCUCAGGCUCGGCGUCAGCAAAGGGACCUGCGCGGCGCCCUGGGGCGGAGGAGGCCCGAAGGUCAGUGGCCAGUGCCGUGCGGCUGACGGAGGUCGGGGCGCAACGGGACCGGGAGGAGCGCCCAGGGCGGGGGUGCCAGGCCCCCUCCAACCGCGGCGGGGUUGGAGUCAAGGCGGCUCCGGGCGGGGGUCGGACCCCAAAUCCAGGCCACAGGCCGCCGCCCGGUCUUCUUCUUUACCCGAAGGGCGGCCGCGGCGGAUGAGAAGCCGUGCACGACGAGCACAAUCUCCAUGGGGAGGAGAACAGGAAUGUUCCUGUGAGCCCCGCCGCGCCCUACCGCCAGCGCAGCCCAGCAUCGCGGGUCCCCUCCUAUCCCACCGGAGAACGGGGUCCUCACUCCCAGCUUCAGCCGAGCCCUGGCCCCGCAACUGCCUGAAGGCACGCCCCCUGCACCUGCCCACCUCAGGUCCCGCCUCCAGCCCAGUGGCCAAGAUCACGGGUCUCUACAAUGACUCGGAGCCACCCCGGAAGACCAUGCGCAGAGGGGUGCUGAUGACCCUGCUGCAGCAGUCGGCCAUGACCCUGCCCCUGUGGAUCGGGAAGCCUGGUGACAAGCCCCCACCCCUCUGUGGGGCCAUCCCUGCCUCAGGAGACUAUGUGGCCAGACCUGGAGACAAGGUGGCUGCCCGGGUGAAGGCCGUGGAUGGGGAUGAGCAGUGGAUCCUGGCCGAGGUGGUCAGUUACAGCCAUGCCACCAACAAGUGAGUGACACCAGCCCUGGGGCUGCUCUCUGCCCUUCCUGUCCACCUGCCCUACAGCCCCAGGAGGACUACUCUAUCCUGUUUGAAGACACCUCCUAUGCAGACGGCUACUCCCCUCAUCUCAGUGUGGCCCAGAGGUACCUGGUAGCUUCUAAGGAGCCCAAGAAAAAGUGACACUGCCCGGCGGACUCGACGUCCUCCACCAUCUUGGGGCAGGACAGCAGAGGAUGUGCUGGGAUUAAACAGACAUCCCCCCUCCACACAUCUCCUGGGUUUUACUUCUCCAAACCCUUCUCCCCUCCCCAGAUAUGGUGACCUGGGGAGCUGAAGGCUGGGGGAGAGGUGACCAUAUGUGGCCCCACUGGGCAUUCACUCUUUCAGCUCAGAGUUUCUCUUCCUUUCCAAUACAGGCUCUACAUGAACACAAAUCAUAUUUUAUUUUAAUUGAGCUUUAUUUUCUUUGGAGGGAGGGUCUUGCUUGUCAUCCAGGCUGUAGUGAAUGGGCAUGUCAUAACUCACUGUAUCCACAACCUCCUGGGCUGAAAUGAUCCUCCAGCCUCUGCUUCCCAAGUAGCUGGGACUACAGGUAAGUGCCAGCACAUGUGGCUAAUUUUUUUACAUCUUUGUAGAGAUGAGGUCUCACUAUUUUACCAGGCUGGUCUCAAAUUCGUGGCCUAUUGUGAUCCUACCAGCUCAACCUCCCAAAUCGCUGGGAUUGCAGACAUGAGCCACUGUGCCUGACUCAAAAAUCAUACUUUAUUCUUGAGCCCAUUGGUCAGGGUAGAUUCGCACACUCCCUCUGCAGUGACUCCAGGAGCCCCUCUCACAGCUCAGAGCGGAAGCUGAGGCUGCAGCCUGCCAUCUUCUCCGCAUAGUCCGCAUCGAAGCGCUCAUUCUGCGCCACGGUGAAGGUGGUCUUCCAGUCCCCAGCCAUGCCUGGCGGAGGAAGGCAGGGAGCAAAGCUGGAGUCUCAUCCCAGGGGAGGCCCCGAGUGCCUAUGGGGAGGCUGCAGCUGCUGCUCCCACCCGCCCAAAACCCCGUGCUGGCCAGCACCCACCUUUCCUCAUGAAGGGGAGGUGCUGUGGUCCAUGAGCUCCUGGGGGACGGUGGUGUAGUUGGUCAUAGGGUU